rnacentral:rRNA from 1 species
UUCAGUUUUCUCGAAUUAAUAAGAGCUAUAAUUGUAUAUAUUUAACUGUGGCAUAAGUUUUUUUCAUAUGAUUAUGGUAGUGAGACGUUAUUCGUUUUUUAAGAUAUCUAGUUCCUUAAGAAAUAAAUUUAAUUUAUUUUUUUGAAUGCAUGUUUUUAAUUAGGUAGUUGGUUGCUUUUAAAAUUUAAUAUUCUAAGGGAUGAGCUUUAGGGUAGAAUACUACAAUGUUUGUUUUGUUUAUUUAAAAUUUGUAGGAUUGGAAAUGUUUUUCUUUAGUUUGUUAUAAUUAAUUUUAGAGUGGAUAAGAUUUUUAUGAAUGUUUAGAUUUUUUAUUAAGGUUAUGUAUGUAAUUUUAUAAUGUAUCUAAUAAUGAUAAAAUUAGUAUAUUUUAUCUGUGUAGGGUUAUUAUAGGCCUAGGUUGGAUUAAGGAAUUCAGCAAAUUUACUUUUCGCCUGUUUAUUAAAAACAUGUCUUUUUGAUUAUAAUUUAAAGUCUAACCUGCCCAAUGAGGAUUUAAAUGGCCGCGGUAAUUUGACCGUGCAAAGGUAGCAUAAUCAUUAGUUUUUUAAUUGAAAGCUGGAAUGAACGGUUGGACGAGAAAGUAACUGUCUCGAUUUAAUUGAUAUUAGAAUUUUAUUUAUAAGUUAAAAAGCUUAUAUGAUUUUAAAAGACGAGAAGACCCUAUAGAAUUUUAUAGUUAUGUAUUUUUUUAGUGAUUGGAAGUUAAAUCUUAAGAGGUGUGAGGCUAUUUUGUUGGGGCGACAGAAAAAUUGAAUUAACUUUUUUUUAUUUUAUUCAUUGAUCUAUGUUUUGUUGAUCCGUUUUUUUCGAUUAUAAGAUUAAAUUACCUUAGGGAUAACAGCGUAAUUUUUUUUUAGAGUUCUUAUCGAAAGAAGAGUUUGCGACCUCGAUGUUGGAUUAAAAUUAACUUUUGGUGCAGAAGCUAGAAGGUUAGGUCUGUUCGA